GAUUGUAGCUUGCUAUAAUUAAUGAGAGUAGCGCACUGGUGAGUAACACGUGGGAACAUACCUUGAAGUGGGGGACAACAGUUGGAAACGACUGCUAAUACCGCAUAAUCCCUGAGGGGAAAGAUUUAUUGCUUUAAGAUUGGCCCGCGGAAGAUUAGGUAGUUGGUGGGGUAAAGGCCUACCAAGCCGACGAUCUAUAGCUGGUCUGAGAGGACGAACAGCCACAUUGGAACUGAGACACGGUCCAGACUCCUACGGGAGGCAGCAGUGAGGAAUAUUGGGCAAUGGAGGCAACUCUGACCCAGCCAUGCCGCGUGAGUGAUGUAAGGUUUUCGAAUUGUAAAAGCUCUUUCGGAUGUGAAGAUGAUGACGGUAGCAUACUAAAGAAGCCCCGGCAAACUUCGUG
rnacentral:rRNA from 1 species